UAGGACUGUGCUUGGCACAUAG
rnacentral:miRNA from 1 species